GACGAACGCUGGCGGCGUGCUUAACACAUGCAAGUCGAACGGAAAGGCCCUGCUUUUGUGGGGUGCUCGAGUGGCGAACGGGUGAGUAGCACGUGAGUAACCUGCCCUUGACUUUGGGAUAACUUCAGGAAACUGGGGCUAAUACCGGAUAGGAGCUCCUGCUGCAUGGUGGGGGUUGGAAAGUUUCGGCGGUUGGGGAUGGACUCGCGGCUUAUCAGCUUGUUGGUGGGGUAGUGGCUUACCAAGGCUUUGGCGGGUAGCCGGCCUGAGAGGGUGACCGGCCACAUUGGGACUGAGAUACGGCCCAGACUCCUACGGGAGGCAGCAGUGGGGAAUAUUGCACAAUGGGCGGAAGCCUGAUGCAGCAACGCCGCGUGCGGGAUGACGGCCUUCGGGUUGUAAACCGCUUUCGCCUGUGACGAAGCGUGAGUGACGGUAAUGGGUAAAGAAGCACCGGCUAACUACGUG
rnacentral:rRNA from 1 species